CCACCCCUUCCCAGACCUCAUUUAAAGGUUGGCAGUGGAGGUGAGAGUGUCCUACUCAAGAUCUUUGUAAGCCUGAGGUUUUCUGAGCCUGGUGAUCCUACACCCUGCCUGAAAUGACGCUAGUGCUUGUAGGAGGUGUUUUUCUCUGGACUGUGAGACUAGUGAGAUGCUGAAGCUGAGCACGGAACAGAUUCGCAGCUGAUUGCCCUCAUUGGAGCCUGGGACGUGCUGUGCCCAAGCCAAGCAUCUGAGGGGUGCCAACUCCAUUGCUGCCAAGGUUCGGAAAUCCAUGCUCGUGUUUGGGGCUCCCUGUGGCCUCCUCACUGGGACAGCCUAUAACCAUUGACACGUGUCUCAGAGUGCCAAGGUUGCAGCCGAAAGGUGUCUCCGAUGAAGAUGUGACUGUGCAACUGGCAAGCUGCUCAUGAAGAGAGUUUUAAAUGAAACAGAAUGGCUAGAGAAAUAUCAAGCCCAAAGAGAAAUGAAAAAGCUACACUUUGAUUAUCUACGUUCCCUACAGUAUUAUGAACUUUAAUAUAAGUUUUUAAACUUGAAGAAGAAAUUUUUGGAAGGUGGAUCAGAUACUUCAAAGAAAACUGGCUCCAUCUAAAGAAUAAGGAAUCUGUUCAUCUGGAACACAGUGUAUCCUCUUGGAUAUACGGAUAUCCAGGCAUGUGAGUCAUCCUAUAGAUGUGUUGCUGUCCAGAGGAUACUGAAGCGCAGAGAGAGAGAACAUCUGAUGGCUUAAGAAGAAACAUCAAAAAAUAAAGGCAGAGUGAGUGAAUAACGAAUGUUAAGAUUAAUAUUUCAGCAACUUAUUUAAAGCUAUCUAGUUGCAGUGCUUGAAGCAUUAAAUUUGCUUGGGUGACCAGUGUGGAAAAUCAGUUUAUUUAAAACGUUUUGCAAUCUUGGAGAACUCAAAGUUUUUGGCCAGCCUAAUUCAUUAUUGCAUAUAUUGCACAGAAAAAGUAUAAAUCCUAUGCAUAGCAAAAAUUGAUGGAGAAGUAGGAAAUCUUGGACCUGAAAAGUGUGAAGAACAUUUAAGGAGAUGGAAUCUGUACUUUCUGUUGUCGUGACAGUUCUUUCUUUGCAAAUAGGAAUACAUUGGAAAUUUCAUCAUAAGAUUUCUAAGGUCAUUCAGACCAUAUUUUUUGCACUGACUAAAGUUAAUGUGCAAGGCAAAAGUUAAACCAUCAACCCACAGGAAGCCAAAAGUAGCUCAGUGAUUCCAGUCUGUUAUUGAUAAAUGUCAAAGUGUACAUCAUGACUUCUGAAAUGGAGGAAGAGUGCUAAUGCCCCCUGCAUGGAGUUGCCUGCUGUGGGUUCUCAGCUGGAAGAGAAUAGACUUGUGAAGGCAUCGUCAUAUAAGCCUUUAGGUUGGACAAGAUAAACUAUCAAGUCCAGCCCUAAACUAGUUUGCCCCAGGUCCAGUACAAAUUGCUCUCCCAUCUUCCUUGUUCCCAUUGUGAGAGGACCUGGGAGGGGCAAUCCUUGAAAUGCAGCCUUAUCUAAAUUCUUCGAAGGGUUUAUUUAUGUUUCAGAGAGGACUGGAGCAUAGAACUCUGAUAUAUUUGUUAAACACGGAAACAACUUCUCGAUAUUGCUACAAACUGAUUCUUAAUGAUGAACCAAAAGGAAUUAGUCUCCAUCUUAUUAGUUAUCAUGCAAUGGCAAGCUUUUACAUUUCCAGCCUCCAGGCUGUUUUGCAUAUGCAUAGAACACUAUGGUUUUUGUGAUGUCGCAACAGAAGACCUUGGGUUUUAAUGAUUCCCUCUCCUUUUCUCUUCCACCCCUCUGGAUGAUAGAAUAAAGCUUUUCUGAUUGCAGCUAAAUAGAACAGCAUCCCCAAAGGCAGGCUAACAGAUAGCUAAAGCUGAAGUAUAUAACUGAUGCAGGGUUUUAUAUCCUCUGGAAAAAACUUUUGCCUUGCGAAAGUUUAACAUUAAGCUAUUUGCAGUGUGUACACUAGAGGCUUAAGUUUGAUUGCUAGGUAUCAGAGCUGAAAAGUAAUAGAGGAAAAAAAUCCAUAUUGUAUUAUUGAAGACCAUGAAUGUAUCUGAUGUUAAGGAAUCUUCAGUGCAGCAGAGGAUGUGUGCUGUAAGCCUUUAGAUAACUCUAUUUUAAUUCCUUCCUGGUGUAAACAAUACAGUGAAUUCUGUCACAGACGUGGCUUUGAGCUCACUUGAAUGUUUUCCUUCUACCUUCCUUGUUGGCAUCUUUGUAGUAUGAAAGGGGACAUGGAAAGGAAAGAAAAAAAAUGUUUGCUGCGAAUGGAAGCAUUGGUAACUCUCUAUAAGCACUGAGUUCAGCAAGGAGAGGUUAAGAAACCUCUGCCUGUACAAAUACCUCUGCAGCAGGCAGCAGAUGCUUUUCUAGUGUUGCUGAGUUGGUGCCUGGAGGCCCACGUCAGCUCCAAGCUGCAUGGGAGGACUCUGGUGGCAGCAGGCAGAGCCCUGAUGCAUUCCGCCAUGACAGCUGCCUCCUUCAUGUUGCAAGAUCUUACCCUGCUGGGAAAUGGUGCAGGCAGCUGAAAACAAAUCCUUCACAGAUUGGCAUCAAGUUAGAGUAUUUGUCAGCCAGGCUCUGUAUUUAUGGCAAGUUUGCUUGAGGAAAGCUUGAAAUAUUCACUGCCUUAGUAGUAAUGUGCCAUAAUGAGGUGUUUUCAGGUUUUCCAAUCAGCACACAUGUUGCUCUGUUGACCAGAUGUCCCUUUGAAACUAUCUCAUCUGAAUUAUACCUCCUUACUGUCAGCACUCACUUUUUCUGAACGUCUUAAAUACAGCCCUAGAGUCAUAUUCAACCUUUAAAUCCUGAACAGAGUGUAGUUAUUAUUCACCUUACAGUUAAUUCUCUGACAGAAUUUCUGCAGGGUAUGAAUUUUUUUUGAGUCUUCCUUAUGGAGUUCUUCAAAGCUUACGAAUAAUCUUUAUUUCUUUCUGCACUGGGGAACUUUGUUUCACAAACUUGUUAAGGUCUGACUGCGGAACAAAUCAUUAGUAGCGUAGAUACUGAGCUACUAAGUCUUUGUAGCCUAAUUAAAAGCAAGCUCCAACUGGAGCCUGUUUAGGUCAAAUACCCUGUGUGAUCUCACAGCAAAAACAACUGCUUCAUUAGCAAAUGACUGGAGAGUCACACUAAGCAGGACUUGUUUCAGUGCCACAGUAGAUGAGAUUGUCCCAUCUUUGAUCAGCCGACAUAAAGUCAGCAUGGGGAUUGCUGUUGGGAUGAGUUGGUAUGUGGGUGAUUUUUCCAUCUCUCCACCAAACUAAUGUGCAGAAUAUUGCAAGGGCAUGCAUCUGGGGGGUCAGAUCAGCAAAUAAGCCUUUCUCACACUGAAGCUAUCUUAUCGUUUCUUUUCACUGUGUGCUUAAUGCCUUUUGUUAGAAUAAAACUCGUAAUUCCAUUAGUAUUUAGAUUGUGCUAGUACCCAAUUCUGAACACUUCAAAACACUUGACACUUCAAAAGUAUUUAAGAGUUCUGAAAUAUUCAUAAAGCUUCCUUUCUUGCCUUUAGCCAUCUUUUUAUCUAAUUUGUACUCCUUGGUGUAAUGAUGCAAAGACUUGGGACAGUGUAUAAGUCCGGAAUAGAGGUUUUUACUGUUCCUCUGAUGUGUUUGCCGCUUGCAGAAACUGCAUCCUCAAUUAAGACAACAGCAAAAUUGUUGAAUGUGAUAGGUCUGGUACAGUCUUGGCAUCUACAAAGAGUUGUAUGUUGCCUCUUGAAUUGAGCCAUGUAUCCCCAUUGGUGCCUCUUACGCAAUCUCUGCUCUCAGUUGAAGACUCCAGGUUUAGAACACAAAACAAACAGGCAAAAAUAAAUAAUCAUAACCAACAAAAUAAAACCAAACUCACAAUGCAAAGAGGUUGCGAAAAUGCCUGAACAUACCAUCCUAAAUGUUUGUUUCACACUUGUGCUAAUUGAGAUUUCUUCUCUGGUAGGUCAUUGGUAUAAAAGGGUUAAAGUUUGCAGGGAAAAGUGAUGGCAAAAAUAAAAGUAAAGUUAUCUAUGUGUACAGAUAUACGGUUUCUAAGGUUUUACACAGCCAGUUCACCUCAGAUUUUCUAUAAGUAUAUUCCUUUCAACCAUUUACAUAGUACCUAUGGCAUUGGACUUUUGACCCUAGUUUGUGUAGUUCAUUAUGUACUCUGAAAACUUUCUGUGGUAUCUGCAUUCAUUUCAAUGUUUCAAGAGGGUUAAAAAUCCAGGGUAAUGUUUUUUUUUCCUUGUCUAUUAAGUUCUUUGUUUUAAUAAAAGGAGGUUUAAGUGACAACCUUGAUAAAAUGACAAGAGUUAUGUAAGAGGUAGCAAGGCUAGGCUUUUAUGAGUACUAAAUGGAAUCUAUAGCAGGG